rnacentral:rRNA from 1 species
UACGUAGGUGGCAAGCGUUGUCCGGAUUUACUGGGCGUAAAGGGCGUGCAGGCGGUCUGUUAAGUUCAGGGUGAAAGCUCCCGGCUCAACUGGGAGAGGUCCUUGGAUACUGGCAGACUUGAGGGAGGUAGAGGAGAGUGGAAUUCCCGGUGUAGUGGUGAUAUGCGUAGAUAUCGGGAGGAACACCAGUGGCGAAGGCGGCUUGCCAGAACGCGCUCGACGGUGAGGGAUGAAAGCUGGGGGAGCAAACCGG